AGAUAACUUUGAACUUGAAUCAAAGAAGCUUGUCCCUGAAUAAAUGUUAGUUCUGAUGUGUAAGCAACCAGGCCAUAGGAUGCUAUUCACUCAGAGUUUCAGGUGAUUCAAACAUAAAUGCAGACA